rnacentral:rRNA from 1 species
AGUUUGAUCAUGGCUCAGAGUGAACGCUGGCGGCAGGCCUAAUACAUGCAAGUCGAACGGCAGCACAGCAGAGCUUGCUCUGUGGGUGGCGAGUGGCGGACGGGUGAGGAUACAUGGGAAUCUGCCCAGUCGUGGGGAUAACGUAGGGAAACUUACGCUAAUACCGCAUGCGCCCUUCGGGGGAAAGCCGGGGACCUUCGGGCCUGGCGCGAUUGGAUGAGCCCAUGUCGGAUUAGCUAGUUGGCGGGGUAAUGGCCCACCAAGGCGACGAUCCGUAGCUGGUCUGAGAGGAUGAUCAGCCACACUGGAACUGAGACACGGUCCAGACUCCUACGGGAGGCAGCAGUAGGGAAUAUUGGACAAUGGGCGCAAGCCUGAUCCAGCCAUGCCGCGUGAGUGAAGAAGGCCCUCGGGUUGUAAAGCUCUUUUGUCCGGAAAGAAAAGCGCCGGGUUAAUACCCUAGUGUCCUGACGGUACCGGAAGAAUAAGCACCGGCUAACUUCGUG